rnacentral:rRNA from 1 species
GACGAACGCUGGCGGCGUGCUUAACACAUGCAAGUCGAACGAUGAAGCCGGAGCUUGCUCUGGUGAAUUAGUGGCGAACGGGUGAGUAACACGUGAGUAACCUGCCCUUGACUCUGGGAUAACUGCGGGAAACUGUAGCUAAUACCGGAUACGACCCUCGGAGGCAUCUCCUGGGGGUGGAAAGAAUUUCGGUCAAGGAUGGACUCGUGGCCUAUCAGCUAGUUGGUGAGGUAAAGGCUCACCAAGGCGACGACGGGUAGCCGGCCUGAGAGGGUGACCGGCCACACUGGGACUGAGACACGGCCCAGACUCCUACGGGAGGCAGCAGUGUGGAAUAUUGCACAAUGGGCGCAAGCCUGACGCAGCAACGCCGCGUGAGGGAUGACGGCCUUCGGGUUGUAAACCUCUUUUAGCAGGGAAGAAGCGAAAGUGACGGUACCUGCAGAAAAAGCACCGGCUAACUACGUGCCAGCCGCCGCUGUAA